AACGAACGCUGGCGGCAGGCCUAACACAUGCAAGUCGAGCGAAGCCUUCGGGCUUAGCGGCGGACGGGUGAGUAACGCGUGGGAACGUGCCCUUUGGUACGGAAUAGCCCCGGGAAACUGGGAGUAAUACCGUAUGUGGUCGAGAGACGAAAGAUUUAUCGCCAAAGGAUCGGCCCGCGUUGGAUCAGGUAGUUGGUGGGGUAAUGGCCUACCAAGCCGACGAUCCAUAGCCGGUUUGAGAGGAGGAUCAGCCACACUGGGACUGAGACACGGCCCAGACUCCUACGGGAGGCGGCAGUGGGGAAUCUUAGACAAUGGGGGAAACCCUGAUCUAGCCAUGCCGCGUGAUCGAUGAAGGCCUUAGGGUUGUAAAGAUCUUUCAGUGGGGAAGAUAAUGACUGUACCCACAGAAGAAGCCCCGGCUAACUCCGUGCCAGCCGCCGCGGUAACAC
rnacentral:rRNA from 1 species